rnacentral:rRNA from 1 species
GAUGAACGCUAGCUACAGGCUUAACACAUGCAAGUCGAGGGGCAUCAGGAAGAAAGCUUGCUUUCUUUGCUGGCGACCGGCGCACGGGUGAGUAACACGUAUCCAACCUGCCCUUUACUCGGGGAUAGCCUUUCGAAAGAAAGAUUAAUACCCGAUAGCAUAAUGAUUCCGCAUGGUUUCAUUAUUAAAGGAUUCCGGUAAAGGAUGGGGAUGCGUUCCAUUAGGUUGUUGGUGAGGUAACGGCCCACCAAGCCUUCGAUGGAUAGGGGUUCUGAGAGGAAGGUCCCCCACAUUGGAACUGAGACACGGUCCAAACUCCUACGGGAGGCAGCAGUGAGGAAUAUUGGUCAAUGGGCGCUAGCCUGAACCAGCCAAGUAGCGUGAAGGAUGAAGGCUCUAUGGGUCGUAAACUUCUUUUAUAUAAGAAUAAAGUGCAGUAUGUAUACUGUUUUGUAUGUAUUAUAUGAAUAAGGAUCGGCUAACUCCGUGCCAGCAGCCGCGGUAAUACGGAGGAUCCGAGCGUUAUCCGGAUUUAUUGGGUUUAAAGGGAGCGUAGGUGGACUGGUAAGUCAGUUGUGAAAGUUUGCGGCUCAACCGUAAAAUUGCAGUUGAUACUGUCAGUCUUGAGUACAGUAGAGGUGGGCGGAAUUCGUGGUGUAGCGGUGAAAUGCUUAGAUAUCACGAAGAACUCCGAUUGCGAAGGCAGCUCACUGGACUGCAACUGACACUGAUGCUCGAAAGUGUGGGUAUCAAACAGGAUUAGAUACCCUGGUAGUCCACACAGUAAACGAUGAAUGCUCGCUGUUUGCGAUAUACAGUAAGCGGCCAAGCGAAAGCAUUAAGUAUUCCACCUGGGGAGUACGCCGGCAACGGUGAAACUCAAAGGAAUUGACGGGGGCCCGCACAAGCGGAGGAACAUGUGGUUUAAUUCGAUGAUACGCGAGGAACCUUACCCGGGCUUAAAUUGCAGUGGAAUGAUGUGGAAACAUGUCAGUGAGCAAUCACCGCUGUGAAGGUGCUGCAUGGUUGUCGUCAGCUCGUGCCGUGAGGUGUCGGCUUAAGUGCCAUAACGAGCGCAACCCUUAUCUUCAGUUACUAACAGGUCAUGCUGAGGACUCUGGAGAGACUGCCGUCGUAAGAUGUGAGGAAGGUGGGGAUGACGUCAAAUCAGCACGGCCCUUACGUCCGGGGCUACACACGUGUUACAAUGGGGGGUACAGAAGGCAGCUAGCGGGUGACCGUAUGCUAAUCCCAAAAUCCUCUCUCAGUUCGGAUCGAAGUCUGCAACCCGACUUCGUGAAGCUGGAUUCGCUAGUAAUCGCGCAUCAGCCACGGCGCGGUGAAUACGUUCCCGGGCCU